rfam:Anaerosporomusa subterraneum strain RT4 RT4_contig_1, whole genome shotgun sequence.
UGGGCAGUAUCGCUUGCGAGCUACACCGGCUGUUAGGCUAAUCUUCAAAGAACCAAUCCGCUUAGAUCCUUUGAGGGCUAAGACGGAAGG